AAGGCAUCUUCAAGGAGAGACGCCCUUUGUGCUCAAUAACGUUCGGUGGGAAAACGGCCAAUUCGACAAUGGAAUGGCUCGCAGAAGGACUUCAUGAUUUCCGCGAUUGACGAUAAACUGCAGCUGUUGGGUAACAUUAAUUGCGCUACGGUCAACAACCGAGCAGAAUGAAUCUUGAAAGAGUUGAGGAAUUUGGCCGUCUUUCCCUAACGCUGGACCGAUUUGAGCAUCGAGGGUGUCUCGCGCGUCUGUCUAUCUGGACUGAAGAGGAACAUUCUGAUCAUGUUAUACUUUUGGCGGAGAAGAUGGCGGAAUAUUUUGUUGACAAAUUUGUUAAAUGAGAGUUCGGUGAAUUCUCAUUUGAGGGCAUCUUUCAAUACAGAAUUCCAGAUAAGA